AUUGAACGCUGGCGGCAUGCCUUACACAUGCAAGUCGAACGGCAGCACGGGAGCAAUCCUGGUGGCGAGUGGCGAACGGGUGAGUAAUAUAUCGGAACGUGCCCGGUCGUGGGGAUAACGUAGCGAAAGCUACGCUAAUACCGCAUACGAUCUACGGAUGAAAGCGGGGGAUCGCAAGACCUCGCGCGAUUGGAGCGACCGAUAUCAGAUUAGGUAGUUGGUGAGGUAAAGGCUCACCAAGCCGACGAUCUGUAGCUGGUCUGAGAGGACGACCAGCCACACUGGGACUGAGACACGGCCCAGACUCCUACGGGAGGCAGCAGUGGGGAAUUUUGGACAAAUGGGCGCAAGCCUGAUCCAGCAAUGCCGCGUGACAGGAUGAAGGCCUGG
rnacentral:rRNA from 1 species